GAUGAAGAACGUAGCGAAAUGCGAUAAGUAAUGUGAAUUGCAGAAUUCAGUGAAUCAUCGAAUCUUUGAACGCACAUUGCGCCCCCCAGUAUUCUGGCGGGCAUGCCUGUUCGAGCGUCAUUUCAACCAUCAAGCCCUGCUUGUGUUGGGGUCCUGCGGCUGCCCGCAGGCCCUGAAAACCAGUGGCGGGCUCGCUAGUCACACCGAGCGCAGUAGCACAUCUCGCUCAGGGCGUGCGUCGGGCUCCAGCCGUUAAAGCACCCACCUUUCGCAAGGUUGACCUCGGAUCAGGUAGGAAUACCCGCUGAACUUAAGCAUAUCAAUAAGCGGAGGA
rnacentral:misc_RNA from 1 species